GGCGCUCCGAACGCUGGAACAAAGCUAAUUCCCGGAGUCACCAGCAGGAGGCGCCGCAGGGCAAUGCUGGAUACUCCCAGGCGAUGUCUUUCUCCAACAGCAACACCAGUAGGCUGUGCCCACACCCACUCUGACUCUCCCCAAAAGAGCACAUGAAUAUGCAACUGCCACAUCAGGAAACCAGCAGGUGGAUGUGCCAAAGAUGUGAGCCAGCUCUGAUUUUUCCCCC